AGAAGAUAUAAGUGCUUCAAGAGACUGUGCGAAAUUAUACAGGUUGCAACCAUGGUGCUGUUCCAUAUCCAUGAGUAGAAAUGAGUGGGGGGUUUCCCAAGGAUCUGAGUACAAAGGCUGAGACACCCUGACCUUCUGCAGGUUUCAGUCUUCCACCAGGUCUGCAUUUUCCCAAAGCUUCUGCAUUUUUGAAACAUCAUGUACUUUGUCAAAUUUGGCUGCAGUUCAAAGAUUGUGGAGAAGGAAGGAGGAGAGGCAGACUUGAAGGUGGAAAGAAAAUUUCCUUGUAUGAGACUGCUUUCCAAAGGAAACCACUGAAGGCCAUGCCUGAGAAAGGAUUUGGGAUGCUGAUCCUCAGUUUUUUCUGUCUCCUCUCCAUCAUCUGUGGGUGUUUACUGAAGCAACAGGUUG
rnacentral:lncRNA from 12 species